AGCUCAGUGGUAGAGCACAUGCUUAGCAUGCACGAGGUCCUGGGUUCAAUCCCCAG
rnacentral:tRNA from 1 species